rnacentral:rRNA from 1 species
GCCUAAAGCGUCCGUAGCCGGCUCUGUAAGUUUUCGGUUAAAUCUGUACGCUUAACGUACAGGCCGCCGGAAAUACUGCAGAGCUAGGGAGUGGGAGAGGUAGACGGUACUCGGGAGGAAGUGGUAAAAUGCUUUGAUCUCUCGAUGACCACCUGUGGCGAAGGCGGUCUACCAGAACACGUCCGACGGUGAGGGAUGAAAGCUGGGGGAGCAAACCGGAUUAGAUACCCGGGUAGUCCCAGCUGUAAACUAUGCAAACUCAGUGAUGCAUUGGCUUGUGGCCAAUGCAGUGUUGCAGGGAAGCCGUUAAGUUUGCCGCCUGGGAAGUACGUACGCAAGUAUGAAACUUAAAGGAAUUGGCGGGGGAGCACCACAAGGGGUGAAGCCUGCGGUUCAAUUGGAGUCAACGCCAGAAAUCUUACCCGGAGAGACAGCAGAAUGAAGGUCAAGCUGAAGACUUUACCAGACAAGCUGAGAGGUGGUGCAUGGCCGUCGCCAGCUCGUGCCGUGAGAUGUCCUGUUAAGUCAGGUAACGAGCGAGAUCCCUGCCUCUAGUUGCUACCAUUACUCUCAGGAGUAGUGGGGCGAAUUAGCGGGACUGCCGUAGUUAAUACGGAGGAAGGAGAGGGCCACGGCAGGUCAGUAUGCCCCGAA